CACUUGGGGACCAGGAGGUGACAGCGGCUGGUGGGCAGCAGGACAGUGCUGGGGAGCCGUCCCCGAGGGCAGCUGGUGGCCGGGUGGCUGAUUCCCGGAGGAAAAUCCACUUCAAGGUGAUCCGGAGCCCCGGGGACCUCCUGCAGUUCAUCGAGGAGCUCAAGGAGACCACCAGGAAGGUGGGGAC